CAUGUGGGGCAAGCGUUGUUCGGAAUUACUGGGCAUAAAGGGUGCGUAGGUGGUUUGUUAAGUCAGGGGUGAAAUCCCGCGGCCCAACCGUGGAACUGCCUUUGAUACUGGCGAACUUGAGUGCGUGAGGGGUAGGGGGAACGAGCAGUGUAGCGGUGAAAUGCGUAGAUAUUGCUCGGAAGGCCAGAGCCGAAGGGGCCCUACUGGUGCGCAACUGACACUGAGGCACGAAAGCGUGGGGAGCAAACAGGAUUAGAUACCCUGGUAGUCCACGCCGUAAACUAUGAGCACUAGAUGGAUGCCGAGCUAUCGGUGUCUGUCGGAGGCAAUUUGGUAAGUGCUCCGCCUGGGGAGUAUGGUCGCAAGGCUG
rnacentral:rRNA from 1 species